rnacentral:rRNA from 1 species
UACGUAGGGUGCAAGCGUUAAUCGGAAUUACUGGGCGUAAAGCGUGCGCAGGCGGUUUUGUAAGUCUGACGUGAAAUCCCCGGGCUCAACCUGGGAAUUGCGUUGGAGACUGCAAGGCUAGAAUCUGGCAGAGGGGGGUAGAAUUCCACGUGUAGCAGUGAAAUGCGUAGAGAUGUGGAGGAACACCGAUGGCGAAGGCAGCCCCCUGGGUCAGGAUUGACGCUCAUGCACGAAAGCGUGGGGAGCAAACAGG